CUUGGUCAUUUAGAGGAAGUAAAAGUCAUAACAAGGUUUCCGUAGGUGAACCUGCGGAAGGAUCAUUAACACGUAUCCACGUAUCAACCCCUCUGUGCAAACCCUAACUUCGAAAGGUUUGGUCUUAGUGUGUCGUUCGCAUGGGUCCUAAUGAUGGAGCGAGGAUCUUCGGAUCUUCGCUAGGGCUCGAACGACGUGUGUUUGACGAUCAACCGCCACUUUCCCAUCGUUGACCCCUCUUUUUAAACCCCUUGUACUUCUUUGUACUGAACCAAUUCUUCUGACGCUCUUAACUGAGUGACGGAUAGAUAUUACGAAACUUAAGAACAACUCUUAGCAACGGAUAUCUUGGUUCCCGCAACGAUGAAGAACGCGGCGAAAUGCGAUACGUAAUGCGAAUUGCAGAAUUCAGUGAAUCAUCAAAUCUUUGAACGCAAAUUGCACUCUCGGGUAUACCCGGGAGUACGCUUCUUUCAGUAUCGGUUCUAUCUAAACUCGCCUGCGUUUUGAUUUAUCAGAACGAUAUGGCGGAAAUUGAGUGUCUCAUCUUCUCGGGUGUGUUACUUGAAGGAUAGAAACGGUAGUUCCCGUUUUUCUUUCGAGAAAAGCUCGUUGUUUUUCCCUUCUCACGAAGGGCUGAAACAAACUGAGUGACAUGGUUAAGUUCGCCUUGUGCGACACCACUAUGUCAACCCAUCUCAGAUUGGUUCAGUAACAAUUGAGUGUGGAACAACUCUGCCGUUCUUUGGAUUAUCCAAUUAACAAAAUCAGAUCUGAAAUGAAGUGAGAGGACCCGCUGAACUUAAGCAUAUCAAUAAGCGGAGGA
rnacentral:rRNA from 1 species